GGGCCAGACUCCUACGGGAGGCAGCAGUGGGGAAUAUUGCACAAUGGGGGAAACCCUGAUGCAGCGACGCCGCGUGAGCGAUGAAGUAUUUCGGUAUGUAAAGCUCUAUCAGCAGGGAAGAAGAUGACGGUACCUGACUAAGAAGCCCCGGCUAACUACGUGCCAGCAGCCGCGGUAAUACGUAGGGGGCAAGCGUUAUCCGGAUUUACUGGGUGUAAAGGGAGCGUAGACGGCGAUGCAAGCCAGAUGUGAAAGCCCAGGGCUCAACCCCGGGACUGCAUUUGGAACUGUGUGGCUGGAGUGUCGGAGAGGCAGGCGGAAUUCCUAGUGUAGCGGUGAAAUGCGUAGAUAUUAGGAGGAACACCAGUGGCGAAGGCGGCCUGCUGGACGAUGACUGACGUUGAGGCUCGAAAGCGUGGGGAGCAAACAGGAUUAGAUACCCGAGUAU
rnacentral:rRNA from 1 species